AUGGAGGAGAGAAUUAUCACCCCCCGGCGCCGAGAACCGCGAGACCAGAACCAGACCGCCGACGCGGCCCCGGCGGUUUCGUGUUCAUCGGGGGAGGACUCGACGUCGACGGACGGGGACUCGGAGCCCGGCUUCGAGUUCGAGUUCCCGUCGCUGCUCGGCAGGGGCCAGGGCUCCCCCGCACCCGCCGACGACCUCUUCGCCGACGGCCGCAUCCGCCCCGCCGCCUUCUACCCCGUCUUCGCCCGCCGCCCGUCAGCGCGAGCGAGUUCAGCGGGGGACGUCGACGGCCUCGGCCUCGUCCCGGCCGCGGCGCCGGAGCGGAGGACGAGGGGGCAGCUCGGGCGGCUCUUCCUCGAGGAGUCCCGCGCGUGGAACAGCUCCUCGUCGAGCAGUAGUACCGGGUCGACGGCGUCCACGUCGUCGUUGUCGUCCGCGGCCACCGCUGACGACGGGGACGGGUACGGCGACGGUGGCCUCGCGGGCGCCGCGCCGGAGAGCUACUGCGUGUGGGCGCCCGGCGGCGGCGGUAAGUCAUCGGAGUCGCCGCGGCCGCCGCGGGGCGGGAAGAGCGGGUCCACGGGGUCGUCCGUGGCGCGGUGGCGCCGCAUCAGCGACCUCGUGGUCGGCCGCAGCCAGAGCGACGGCAAGGAGAAGUUCCUCUUCCUCCCCGUCAACCCGCCGACGCCGCCGCCCAAGCAGCAGGAGCCCAAGCGCAAACCCAGGCCGAACCCGGCAACCGGCGGCACCAAGAAGAAGGGCAGCGAGAUCGGCACGGUGGCCGCCGCCCACCGGAUGGCCUACGUCGCCAAGGCCGGCGUGGGCGUCGCCGCCAACGGCGCCACGCCGCGGCGCACGUUCCUGCCGUACCGCGAGGAGCUGGUGGGGUUCUUCGCCAACGUGAACGGCAUCAGCCGGAGCCACGCGCACCCCUACUGA
rnacentral:rRNA from 1 species